ACACCUCAACUCCUCAUGGUUUGCCAUGAUGAGCUUGGACCUUUGGGGGUAUUGCUGGCCCUGUGGUUGGCUCCUCUCAAAUGGAUCAGCUUGCCAGUGUUUGGUGGCAUCACGGGUGUGAUAAAUAUCUACGCUUGUGGUUUUCCACCAUUGUAACCUUCAGCGAUGAAGGUGCACUGGAGCUCACAAAUGUCCCUCCUCAGCGAGGACAGCUUUUGAAC
rnacentral:misc_RNA from 1 species